rnacentral:piRNA from 1 species
UGAUCUAAAGGAAACAGAGGUGAC